CCCAACUACAGCAGCAACUGCACCCCCUACUACAGCAACAACCGCGGCCCCAACUACAGCAGUAAAUGUGGCCCUAACUACAGCAGCAACCACAGCCACUACUGCAACAGCAACCGCGGCCCCUGCUACAGCAGGAACUGGCAAACCUCCAGCAACAGCAGUCAAUACAACCACCCAAAGGCCCUUUCCUGGGUUCGCUGUUGCCAUCAUUGUCAUGUGCGGUUUAGCCAUCUUGGCUGUCCCACUAAUUAUGAUUCUGGUCCUGAAGACCAAAAUGUGUUCAAAGCUGGCACAGGCUUGCUCUCUGGAGUCCCCCCUCUAUGAGGAGCAUUAAUAAGAUAUGAAUAAACAUGGCAUCCAAUGAAAAGAAGAAUUAAGAAAACAUGAAUUCUAUAAAUGUUUAUUGAAUACAUUUGAUUUGGCAAGAACAUUUUCACUAUGCUCAUGUAGUCCUUCCAGAAAGAACAGAUUGCAGCCAUGUAUAUAAUGAAGCGAUAGUGCCGGAUCAUGAAGGCUCUACUGUCUGCUAGCUGACCCCGACUGGAGAAUAAUAUAUUUACCUUGAACUUGUAAUGAUUCGUCAGGUUCCCUUCUGCUGAGAAGCUUUAGGAAAAUAGUCCCAAAAAUGUUCAUAAAGGUUCACACACAUAAUUGAGAAACAAAUCACUUUUUUUACUUAUCAGAGCUGUUUAUAGUCUAUCUGAACAGUGUCAGAUAUCUGAAUGGAGCAAUAUUACUUCACUGUGUGUGUCUCGGUUUGUUGUUGUUGAAACAUGCUGUCUGCGCUCCAGUCGAGCUGACAGGCUGCGAUUGGCUGACUCGGCCGUUGCAGGUACGGGAUUGGUUGCUUUUGUGUGUGCAAAAUAUUGAUUGAAGAAGUUCUGUGAACCCAGUGACAAUAAUCCUGAAAUUAGAUUGAACAAAAAAAUAAAAAAACGACAAUUGCCAGAGCACUGCAACACCCAUGUACAGUACCUGUGUCUGCACCACACACACAGCACCGCAACACACAUGUACAGUACCUGUGUCUGCACCACACACACAGCACUGCAACACCCAUGUACAGUACCUGUGUCUGCACCACACACACAGCACUGCAACACCCAUGUACAGGACCUGUGUCUGCACCACACACACAGCACUGCAACACCCAUGUACAGUACCUGUGUCUGCACCACACACACAGCACUGCAACACACAUGUACAAUCUCAUGUUUAACUGUUUGAUGUGUUUGUUUUAACUUGUUUAUUAUUAUAUUGAUUACUGUAUUAGCACUGUUGUGCAUAGGAUUAAUAUUGUUGAAUACAUUGUGCUUUAUAGCUCAGUGUUACUGUAUGAAAAUAGUCUUGUUUCUAUCUAUGUCUAUUCCAUUUGUAAGUCUUCUAACUUAAUUAAAGCAUACAUUUUUGUAUAAAUACUAUGUGGUCUGUCUUUAAAAUGUGAUUUUUAAUCACCGGUAAUUAAACCCUAUCAAACAGUUUUUAACGUGAUUAUGUUGCAAAUAGGGCGGCAUUGUGGAGUAGUGGUUAGGGUUCUGGACUUUUGACCAGAGGGUCGCGGGUUCAAUCCCAGGUGGGGGGACACUGCUGCUGUACCCUUGAGCAACGUGCUUUAUAGAUUGCUCCAGUAAAAACUCAACUGUAUAAAUGGGUAAUUGUAUUUAAAAAUAAUGUGUAAAAAGUAACGUAAUUGUAUUUAAAAAAAAAAUUGAUAUCUUGUACCAAUUGGAGGCUGUGUGGUCCAGUAGUUAAAGAAAAGGGCUUGUAACCAGGAGGUCCCUGGUUCAAAUCCCACCUCAGCCACUGACUCAUUGUGUGACCCUGAGCAAGUCACUUAACCUCCUUGUGCUCCGUCUUUCGGGCGAGACGUAAUUGUAGGUGACUCUGCAGCCGAUGCAUAGUUCACACACCCUAGUCUCUGUAAGUCGCCUUGGAUAAA